rnacentral:sRNA from 1 species
AAGAUGCCCUGGUGAGUGAACUCUGUUAUCCGCAGAGAACAGGUAUAACACAUCAUCAAUAGCACUACAAGCUUCCUCCAGGCCACCCUACCAGCAGGCCUCAACCCUGCCGUGGGGGAACCACUGGUAGAGGGGAGAGAGUAAAUCAGUCUCCAGGCCCAUUCAGCCUUUAGGCUCCC